GAUGAACGCUGGCGGCGUGCCUAAUACAUGCAAGUCGAGCGAACAGACGAGGAGCUUGCUCCUCUGACGUUAGCGGCGGACGGGUGAGUAACACGUGGAUAACCUACCUAUAAGACUGGGAUAACUUCGGGAAACCGGAGCUAAUACCGGAUAAUAUAUUGAACCGCAUGGGUCAAUAGUGAAAGACGGUUUUGCUGUCACUUAUAGAUGGAUCUGCGCCGCAUUAGCUAGUUGGUAAGGUAACGGCUUACCAAGGCAACGAUGCGUAGCCGACCUGAGAGGGUGAUCGGCCACACUGGAACUGAGACACGGUCCAGACUCCUACGGGAGGCAGCAGUAGGGAAUCUUCCGCAAUGGGCGAAAGCCUGACGGAGCAACGCCGCGUGAGUGAUGAAGGUCUUCGGAUCGUAAAACUCUGUUAUUAGGGAAGAACAAAUGUGUAAGUAACUAUGCACGUCUUGACGGUACCUAAUCAGAAAGCCACGGCUAACUACGUG
rnacentral:rRNA from 1 species